rnacentral:rRNA from 1 species
GACGAACGCUGGCGGCGUGCUUAACACAUGCAAGUCGAACGGAAAGGCCCUGCUUUUGUGGGGUGCUCGAGUGGCGAACGGGUGAGUAACACGUGAGUAACCUGCCCUUGACUUUGGGAUAACUUCAGGAAACUGGGGCUAAUACCGGAUAGGAGCUCCUGCUGCAUGGUGGGGGUUGGAAAGUUUCGGCGGUUGGGGAUGGACUCGCGGCUUAUCAGCUUGUUGGUGGGGUAGUGGCUUACCAAGGCUUUGACGGGUAGCCGGCCUGAGAGGGUGACCGGCCACCCUGGCACUGAGAGGAGGUAAAGGCUCAUACGGGAGGCAGAAGUAGGGAAUCUGAAGCAAUGGGCGAAGGGCUGACGGAGAAACGCCGCGGGAGGGAUGAAGGUCUUCGGAUCGUAAAACUCUGUUAUAAGGGAAGAACAGAUGUGUAAGUAAAUGUGCACAUCUUGAAGGUACCUAAUCAGAAAGCCACGGAUAACUACGAG